rnacentral:rRNA from 1 species
AAUUUUGGACAAUGGGGGAAACCCUGAUCCAGCCAUCCCGCGUGUAUGAUGAAGGCCUNCGGGUUNUNAAGUACUUUUGGCAGAGNAGAAAAGGUAUCCCCUAAUACGGAAUACUGCUGACGGUCUCUGCAUAAUAAGCUCAGGCUAACGACGUGCUCGAAGCCGCGGUAAUACGUAGGCUGCAAGCGUUAAUCGGAAUUACUGGGCGUAAAGCGUGUGUAGGCGGUUCGGAAAGAAAGGUGUGAAAACCCAGGGGUCAACCUUGGAACUGCAUUUUUAACUGCCGAGCUAGAGUAUGUCAGAGGGGGGUAGAAUUCCACGUGUAGCAGUGAAAUGCGUAGAUAUGUGGAGGAAUACCGAUGGCGAAGGCAGCCCCCUGGGAUAAUACUGACGCUCAGACACGAAAGCGUGGGGAGCAAACAGG